GGGUGGGGCUUAGCCUUCCCGCCAACGGAGGUCGGCGCCCAUUUUCUCUCUUCAGGCGCUCGUCAGGGCUCCUUGUGGGGUCGCUUGUCGCGCGGGUCCGGGGCUUCGCUCUCCCCGGUCACUGUUCCUGAGAGCAGUCUGGACAAAAGCAGUACAAUGGAGGUGUAAAAUUCGAACGGAGUGUGAUGCAGUCAUGUCAGCCUGGGUCUAUAGACAGCUGGAACAAGUAAUGGGAAGUGAUGAACCCCUCACUCCUACUAAUCUCAAGGGCAUGAUAACUAAAGCCUAAUAAGAGUGCUACUAUUGUCA